UUUUUUUUUUUUUUUAAGGGCUGCCCCUGCCGCAUAUGGAGGUUCCCAGGCUAGGGGGUCAAAUCCGAGUUGUAGCCGACAGCCUACACCACGGCCACAGCCACACCAGAUCCGAGCCGCGUCUGUGACCUAUAUCACAGCUCACAGCAACGCCGGAUCCUUCACCCACUGAGUGAGGCCAGGGAUCGAACCUGCGCCCUCACGGUUCCCAGUCAGAUUCGUUUCCCCUGCACCAUGACGGGAACUCCCGGAGAGACUUUUAACAAGAAUUUUCAUUGAUGGGUAGUUGAUGUACUAUGUUGUGCUAAUUUGUGCUGGGCGGUGGUUCGGGUAUACAUAGAGAUACAUUCUGUUUCCUAUUCUGUUCUGUUAGGGUUUGUCACAGGUUGAAUAUAGAGAGCUCCCUGGGCUGGGCAGUGGGACCUUGUUGAACUUUUUUGUUGUUGUUGUUGUCGUUUUUUAAAGUUUCAUUGCGGUGGACUUCAUGUGCAGCGUUGGGAUCCUUUCUGCUGUGUAGCAAAGUGACUCAGGCAUCCGUGUCCACACAUCUGUUCUUGCUGAGAUUCUUUUCCCACAGAGAUGAUCACGGGGUAGUGGGUAGAGCUCCCUGUGCUGGACAGCAGGUCCCUGUUGGCCCGUCAUUCCAUAGACCUGAGGGUGCACGUGCCAACCCCGCACCCCCCCGUCCAUCCCUGCCCCCCACCUGUCCCCUUAGGUCACCGAAAGAUUGUUUUCAAAGUCUGUGAGUCUUUCUGUCCUGCCAAUAAGGUCAUUGCUGUCCUUUUUUCUAGAUUCCACGUGUAAGUGAUAUCAUGUGAUGUUUACCUUUCUCUUUCUGACUUACGUAGUGUGACAAUCUCUAGGUCCAUCCAUGCUGCUGCUGAUGGCAUGAUUUCGUUCUUUUUCAUGGCUGCGUCGUAUUCCGUUGUAUGUAUGUACCAUGCCUACACGUCCAUCAGCAGAGGACUGGAUAAAGAUGUGGCACAUACACUUUGUGGAAAAUGACUCAGCUGUAAAAAAGAAUGAUGGAAGGUAACAUAAGAAAGGGAAUGUGUGUGUGUGUGUUGUGUGUGUGUGUAUCUGACUGUUACUUUGCAAUGUAGCAGAAAUUAGCAUAUUGUAAAUCAACUCUAAUAAAAAUUUUUUUAAAAUAAAAUUCUUCUACCACCACCACCAACAAAGAAUGAAAUCAUGCCAUUUGCAGCAACAUGGAUAGACCUGGAAAUAAACUAUUUGUUUUUUUUAGAGCCACAUCUGCUCCUGGGAACUUCCAUAUGCUGCAGGUGCGGCUCUAAGAAAAAAAAUUAAUAAAAAAUAAGGGCGUGGCUUGAGCCCAGUGCCAGCUCAGCUUUUCUGUCUCCCUGGGGGGCACUUGUGGGAAAGCCACUGGCCUCCCUUCUUCCUCCUGAGUCAGAAUUUGUGUGCGGGCUCUUUAAAGCCACUGCCUCCGAGAAAGCAGUGAAAAAAAAAAACUCCACAAAAGGCAGAAUUUUUACAGUGAUGUCAUUUCAGUAGUGGGAAGGACCAGAGGUUAAUUUGGCCCUCGGAGACCUGAAUUUUGGCUCUUCUGGUCGACUGCACAUAUUUCUGUGGGGCUGGAAAAUCAUGACCCAGAUGCCCAAAGGCCGGAGACAGGGCACCGGCCUCGUUCCUGAGCCCUGUCAACCCCACCCCCGUCCCCGGAACACACGCUCACGGCCUGUCUUCUGGGACCUGUGCUCUUUCUCUCCCGACCCUAACGGGGUCGCCCUGUGACCCAUUAGGGGGAGCGAUGCGGCUUUCAGAAUAUCACCUGGGAAAGACUUGGGGCUGCAGCCGAGACCCCCUAAUUCUGACUUUGCAAACCUUUGCUGGGGUCCUGGUGAGAAGUCCGGCUGGUAUAUUUGGCAGGAAACAUCCAGAACUCACUGUCUGUCUUUCUGUCUGUCUCUCUUCCUUCCCUCCUUCCUUCUCUCUUUCUCUCUCCCUCCCCCACAGCCCUGGGUCCUGCUUAGCCAUUGAAACCCCCCGCAGUCCCCAGGGUGUCUGUCUGUCCCACAUUGAAUCCCAUUCUUCCCCCACGUGCACCUGGACUCGGGUUACUGACCUCAUGAGCCAGGCUGAGCUCAGAAGGAAGCUGUAGCUCUCUGUCCCUUGAUGUCUGAAUUUAAAGCUUGACACCCCCCCUUUGGAGGCUUUAUCUGCAUGUGUGCCCCGUACACCCUGGGGUCCUGCAGGCCAUGAGGGCAGGCAAGCGCUCUGCUCUCCAGCCCUGUCCCCCAGUCCCUGCGAAUCUGUACUCUGACCAAAGUCGCUCCAGCAUGUUUUAGUUUUGGUUUGGUUUGGGGGUGUUUUUCCCCCCCUUUUUUUUUUUUUACAACUGCUGGGUCCACAUUGCCCGGGCCGCUGCCUGCGGCGGGGACUGUUUGGCGACCUGUUCAGGGAUGCGGUUGCGUGGAUGUGCCUUCCUGACGGUGGUGGAAGGUCCUUGUCAGCGGUCGGCCGCGGGGGGCCUUGCCCAGGCCGCGGGAGCCUUGCCCAGGUCCCACUGCCCACUGGAGGGACGGAUGGACAGAUGGGCGCCGCCCUGGAUGCAGGGAGCAUCCUCUCGUCGGAGGGAGAGGAGAUGCUGCUGGGGUUCCGCACGCCUCCUCCCCCCGAGCACAGCUGGAGGUGUUGGGGCUCCAGACCUGAGUGUGGCCUGGGCGCGCUGGGGGGCCCUGGCGUGCUUAGCCCUCUCCCUGUGCCUCCGUCCCCCGCUUUCGUUUUGUGGCCUCGAUUCCCCUGUGACUCCUCCCUGGCAUUUUUCUCUUGGUUGUCAUGGAAAAGGGCCGCUUGUUCUGCACCCCUAAAAA
rnacentral:lncRNA from 1 species